rnacentral:rRNA from 1 species
UACAGAGGAUGCAAGCGUUAUCCGGAAUGAUUGGGCGUAAAGCGUCUGUAGGUGGCUUUUUAAGUCCGCCGUCAAAUCCCAGGGCUCAACUCUGGACAGGCGGUGGAAACUACCAAGCUGGAGUACGGUAGGGGCAGAGGGAAUUUCCGGUGGAGCGGUGAAAUGCGUAGAGAUCGGGAGGAACACCAGAGGCGAAGGCGGCGACCUGGACAGAUACUGACACUCAACUGCGAAAGCGUGGGGAGCAAACAGG